AGUCAAUAGAUACCCUGGUAGUCCUGGCAGUAAACGGUGCGCGUUUGGUGUGGGAGGAUUCGACCCCUUCUGUGCCGGAGCUAAACGCGUUAAACGCGCCGCCUGGGGAGUACGGUCGCAAGAUUAAAACUCAAAGAGAUUGACGGGGGCCCGCACAAGCGGUGGAGUAUGUGGCUUAAAUUCGAUGCAACGCGAAGAACCUUACCUAGCCUUGACAUGCAUCUCUAAGUCGGUGAAAGCCGGCGACCAUAGCAAUAUGGAAUUUGCACAGGUGCUGCAUGGCUGUCGUCAGCUCGUGUCGUGAGAUGUUGGGUUAAGUCCCGCAACGGGCGCAACCCCUGUGAACUGUUGCCACCACACUACGGUGUGAGCACUCUGUUCAGACUGCCCUGUGAAACGGGGAGGAAGGUGGGGAUGACGUCAAGUCAGCAUGGCCCUUACGGCUAGGGCUGCACACGUACUACAAUGCUCAGUACAGAAUGAACCGAAACCGCGAGGUGGAGGAAAUCCCUAAAACUGAGCUCAA
rnacentral:rRNA from 1 species